UAGGGAAUAUUGGUCAAUGGAUGCAAGUCUGAACCAGCCAUGCCGCGUGCAGGAAGAAGGCCUUCUGGGUUGUAAACUGCUUUUGCCAGGGGAUAAAAUGGGCGUGCGCGCUUAAUUGAAGGUACCUGGUGAAUAAGCCACGGCUAACUACGUGCCAGCAGCCGCGGUAAUACGUAGGUGGCAAGCGUUGUCCGGAUUUAUUGGGUUUAAAGGGUGCGUAGGUGGUCCCAUAAGUCAGUGCUGAAAUAUCCCGGCUUAACCGGGAGGGUGGCAUUGAUACUGCGGGACUUGAGUAAAGUUGAGGUAGGCGGAAUUGACGGUGUAGCGGUGAAAUGCUUAGAUAUCGUCAAGAACACCUAUUGCGAAGGCAGCUUACUAAGCUUUAACUGACACUGAGGCACGAAAGUGUGGGGAUCAAACAG
rnacentral:rRNA from 1 species